rnacentral:rRNA from 1 species
UACGAAGGGUGCAAACGUUGCUCGGAAUUAUUGGGCGUAAAGCGUGCGCAGGCGGUGAUGUAAGACAGUUGUGAAAUCCCCGGGCUCAACCUGGGAACUGCAUCUGUGACUGCAUCGCUGGAGUGCGGCAGAGGGGGAUGGAAUUCCGGGUGGAGCGGUGAAAUGCAUAGAGAUCCGGAAGAACACCGACGGCGAAGGCAGCGUCCUGGCCGAGCACUGACGCUCAGGCACGAAAGCGCGGGGAGCAAACAGG